rnacentral:rRNA from 1 species
UACGUAGGGGGCAAGCGUUGUCCGGAUUUAUUGGGCGUAAAGAGCGUGUAGGCGGCCAGAUAGGUCGGUUGUGAAAACUGGAGGCUUAACCUUCAGACGUCGAUCGAAACCAUCUGGCUAGAGUCCGGAAGAGGGGAAUGGAAUUCCUGGUGUAGCGGUGAAAUGCGCAGAUAUCAGGAAGAACACCCGUGGCGAAGGCGGUUCUCUGGGACGGUACUGACGCUGAGACGCGAAAGCGUGGGGAGCGAACAGG